rnacentral:rRNA from 1 species
AACAUAUGCCUGUUUCAAAGAUUAAGCCAUGCAGGUUUAAGUGCACACGGGCGUUACAGUGAAACUGCGAAUGGCUCAUUAAAUCAGUUAUGGUUCCUUUGAUCGCUCCUCUCGUUACUUGGAUAACUGUGGCAAUUCCAGAGCUAAUACAUGCAAACGAGUGCCGACUCGCCCCGGUCUUUGCUCCUCGCGGGGUGGGGGCCGCGGUGUGGGGAAACACGCAUUUAUCAGACAUAAACCCAUAUGUGAUGACUCUUGAUAACCUCGGGCCGAUCGCGCGCCCUUCGCGGCGGGGGCGACUCAUUCAAAUGUUUGCCCUAUCAACUUUUGAUGGUACUAUAUGGGACUACCAUGGUGACCCCGGGUAACGGGGAAUCAGGGUUUGAUUCCGGAGAGGGAGCCCGAGAAAUGGCUUCCCCAUCCAAGGAGGGCAGCAGGCGCGCAAAUUACCCCUUACCGACCCGGUGAGGUAGUGACGAAAAAUAACGAUACCGGUUUCUUUUGAGGCCCUGUAAUCGGAAUGAAAGGAUCCUAAACCCAUGGGUGAGGACCCCUUGGAGGGC